GACGAACGCUGGCGGCGUGCUUAACACAUGCAAGUCGAACGGAAAGGCCUGCUUUCCCUUGUGGAUUGCGGGUACUCGAGUGGCGAACGGGUGAGUAACACGUGAGUGAUCUGCCCCCAACUUGGGUAUAAGCCUGGGAAACUGGGUCUAAUUCCCGAUAGGACUGCAGGGUGGUGCCUGUGGUGGAAAACGAUUUUCUAGUGGUUGGGGAUGAGCUCGCGGCCUAUCAGCUUGUUGGUGGGGUAAUGGCCUACCAAGGCGGCGACGGGUAGCCGGCCUGAGAGGGUGGACGGCCACAUUGGGACUGAGAUACGGCCCAGACUCCUACGGGAGGCAGCAGUGGGGAAUAUUGCACAAUGGGCGGAAGGCUGAUGCAGCGACGCAGCGUGGGGGAUGACGGCCUUCGGGUUGUAAAAUCCUUUCGACCGCGAGGAAGCCACCUGGUUGGAAGGGUGGUGACGGUAGUGGUAGAAGAAGCACCGGCUAACUACGU
rnacentral:rRNA from 1 species